rnacentral:rRNA from 1 species
CCUACGGGCGGCAGCAGUGAGGAAUAUUGGUCAAUGGACGAGAGUCUGAACCAGCCAAGUAGCGUGAAGGAUGACUGCCCUAUGGGUUGUAAACUUCUUUUAUAUGGGAAUAAAACGUUCCACGUGUGGGAUUUUGUAUGUACCAUAUGAAUAAGGAUCGGCUAACUCCAUGCCAGCAGCCGCGGUAAUACGGAGGAUCCGAGCGUUAUCCGGAUUUAUUGGGUUUAAAGGGAGCGUAGGUGGAUUGUUAAGUCAGUUGUGAAAGUUUGCGGCUCAACCGUAAAAUUGCAGUUGAAACUGGCAGUCUUGAGUACAGUAGAGGUGGGCGGAAUUCGUGGUGUAGCGGUGAAAUGCUUAGAUAUCACGAAGAACUCCGAUUGCGAAGGCAGUUCACUGGACUGCAACUGACACUGAGGCUCGAAAGUGUGGGUAUCAAACAGGAUUAGAUACCCCGGUAGUC